CGCAGCAAACGCAAAACAUCAACGACUCGACAUGGCACGACUGGCCACUACUUGUAGUGGCGGCAAAAGACANCGCUUUCGAAACGGCAUGNGGCAGGUCUGCGACACGGCAAAUUCAUGAGAAUUCAGUUUUGUUUCGACCAUCGUGCGGUAAGGAAGUUCUAACGGGAAAACUGCNAGUCAAAUCUAAAAAAGCAGCAUAGUGUGGUAAACACUUGAAGCAGCUUGAAGCUUGUGGCGUGUGUUGAGCAAAGUAUAAAAGUGAUAAAAGCUAACUGAAUGCAAGCCUGCAUAUAAUGAGUUAAAAACUCCAAUAAAAAUGAAAGAAACUACUUAAGCGUUAAGUUUGUAAUACCCCCGAGAGGUGCACACCCUCGGUAUGUAAUUCCAUUAGCGCUCGGCAAUUGAAUAUUUGCAUAACACCUUUUUAUGAACACGACUCACAGGAAGUGUGCAAGCAAUAAGUAAAUGUGCAAAAUAAAGAAUAAUACAAAAACAAAGUGCACAAAAAAAAUAAAACUUUAGAACCGGCGCCAAUAAAGUGUUUUCGGGGACGCACACGCUCGUAAAAUCUCAACUACACUAAAAAUACAAANAAAAAAGUUUACGCCAAAAACAAAAACAACGCAGAGUUGGAAGUGAGUGUAAGAGCGCGAAGGAGUGUACGUAAGCAAAGCAAAUAAAGCNAAAUCUGCAGAGACAAAAACACACGCACAUAACGACAGUCAGUCGGCGUAGCAGGAGUCACGCUUCGGCGCCUUGGCNGCCCACUAGGCGUGUUAAUCCUUCGACAGCGACAGAGCAGCUGAGUUAAGUGACAGAAAGCAGCUGCUUUUAAUGGCACGUAAAUAAUGAAAAAGACCUAUAUGUAUUCAUAUACUUAUUUGUGCAAAAGUAAAGCGAUAAAAGAAUAAAAUCCGCAAAGCUGCAAGCAGUAAAAAGUUCUGCUCUCCACAGUAAAAGCGCGCAAAUAAAAAUUACACAAACGAAAUCAUAUUAAAUACAAUAAAAAAUUUUAAUUUCCCGGAAAUNAAAUUUAUAAAAGCUGAAAGUCACAACAGCAUGCGCACAAACCGUUAAUAAAUGGUCCGGCUGCGGAUUUUCAGUGUUCGCGCGCUUAUUUUUGGUCGCCGCUCGCAAUUAAAAAUGGCUUAACACACACAGCAGUCAGCGCUUGCACGUGUAUUUGUGUGUGUGUUGGUGUUUAUCGAAUUUUCAUGUUCGCUGCGCACGACCCGCAUGUUAUUGUUGUUGCAAUUAUCGAAUAGUUUGUGACAUUUCGGAAAAGUUGUGAAUUGCAGAAACAAAUUGGUGCAAAAAGCAACAAAAAGUAAACACAAAAACAAAAGCAACAAAAAUCCAAAUUACAAAAACGAAACUGGUGUGAAUGAAAAUGUGNAUGCACACGGUGAGAAAAGUGCAAAAAUAAAAAAUAAAACACAAAUGUUGCUCAGCUGUAAUCAGUGUCACAGUUUUUAGUUUCGCAAAGCAGAGAAAGACUCCUCACUGACGAAGGAUAAAACGAGCGCUGAGUGUUCAGUCGACUACUUCCAUGCAAACUUCAUCACGAGGACACCGACUAACGGACAAACUACAACGUAAGUG
rnacentral:lncRNA from 1 species